rnacentral:rRNA from 1 species
UACGGGGGGAGCACGCGUUGUUCGGAUUUACUGGGCGUAAAGGGCGCGUAGGCGGCCACUGCAAGUCAGUUGUGAAAUCUCCGGGCUUAACCCGGAAAGGUCAACUGAUACUGCAGGGCUAGAGUGCAGAAGGGGCAACUGGAAUUCUCGGUGUAGCGGUGAAAUGCGUAGAUAUCGAGAGGAACACCUGCGGCGAAGGCGGGUUGCUGGGCUGACACUGACGCUGAGGCGCGAAAGCCAGGGGAGCGAACGGG